UGGCUCCUUUGCAUUGCUGUGCUUGCUGCCCUUGUCCUCAUGGCCGUUAUCAUCCGCCUGGCCGUCUUCACAGCCUUCCUUGCUCUCGUCCUCCCAGGUGGAAUCGUAGUCCGGGUCAUCCAUUCUCAAGAGGCAGGACUGGCAUUCCAUGGAAAGGAAAGGGGAAGAGGAGUACUUGUCUGUAAAAAUGGAAAACACGUUGAAAGCCUGUUAGUAACAUGUCUACACUGUGUAUGCAUUUGGGCAGUAAUCUGCCAAAGGACAUUUGUGGAAGUAAGAAAACAAAUGUGUGGACCAUGGGAAUUAAGCUGAGUAUCUCAGACUUGGUGAGUACAUUCUGUGGUUUUUCCUUUGUAGAAGACCAGGUCAAACCUGGGUGACCUCGUUAAUAUAAAAUCAUACUUUGUAAUCAAUCACUUUGUAUUCAAUCACUUUGUCCCCAUGCAUGUAUGCUGAUUUGGGUAUAAAAUCCCUAUAAAAAGAGCGUAUAACCCUUGCUAGGUGUGUAGCUUUCCCAGUAUUGCUGACACCCGAAUGCACAUUCGUUCUCUUACCUUUGCAGCUCUUGGUCUGGUUUCUGAGUCUCAGGGGCUCCUUGGGAUCCUGUGCCCCUUAGGGGUCUGGCAUCUUUCAAUUGAUGGAAAAGGGCUGUUUAAGUCUCUGACCUGUGUGUCUAUGACUCUUUUCAGCCAUGAUACCACCAACACCCAGAUCCAAUUCAUGGGAAACAACCUUGAGUCUCCCUGUGUUCCCCCAGGUUACUGGAUGUGCUGAGAUCCAAUUUGCCAGGAAUUCCCUGUCAAAAUUUCUCAUCAACGCACAGUCCUGAUGUUAGCUACUCUGCUUGCACACGGUCCAUUCAAUGCAGGGGUAUAAGUCCACAGCAAGUGAUAUAUUUUUGAGAGAGAAUGAACUGCUCUCAGUCUACACCUGUGACCCCCCAGCUUUCUUCCCACAUGUGUAUCCACUUCCACCUGCAAUGAUAUGUAAGAUACAAACGACCUUUGAAUUGUUCUAGAAAUCUGUGUGAGGUCAGACCUCAGUUUAAUGGGUCAACUCCCAGGAAAUUUUCUUGCUAUUCAGAGAGUAAGAAGAUUAAUGACAAUCACUGCCUGGAAGUCUGAGGCACACACCUUUAAUCCCAGCAAUCCGAAGGCACAGGCAGGCAGAUCUCUGUGAGU
rnacentral:lncRNA from 1 species